UUGGAGGGCAAGUCUGGUGCCAGCAGCCGCGGUAAUUCCAGCUCCAAUAGCGCAUAUUAAAGUUGUUGCAGUUAAAAAGCUCGUAGUUGAAUUUCGGGGUCAGUAGAUUGGUCAUGCCACUGGUAUGUACUGGUCUUACUGGCUCCUCCUUCCUGAUGAACCGUAAUGCCAUUAAUUUGGUGUUGCGGGGAGACUGGACUGUUACUUUGAAAAAAUUAGAGUGUUUAAAGCAGGCUAACGCUUGAAUACAUUAGCAUGGAAUAAUGAAAUAGGACGUUCGAUCUUAUUUUGUUGGUUUCUAGGAUUGACGUAAUGAUUAAUAGGGAUAGUUGGGGGCAUUAGUAUUCAAUUGUCAGAGGUAAAAUUCUUGGAUUUAUUGAAGACUAACUACUGCGAAAGCAUUUGCCAAGGAUGUUUUCAUUAAUCAAGAACGAAAGUUAGGGGAUCGAAGACGAUCAGAUACCGUCGUAGUCUUAACCAUAAACUAUGCCGACUAGGGAUCGGAUGAUGUUAAUUUUUUAAUGACUCAUUCGGCGCCUUACGGGAAA
rnacentral:rRNA from 1 species